GACGAACGCUGGCGGCGUGCUUAACACAUGCAAGUCGAGCGGUAAGGCCCUUUCGGGGGUACGACGAGCGGCGAACGGGUAGGAGUAACACGUGGGUGGACCUGCCCUCCAGCUCUGGGAGUCAGCCUGGGAAACCGGGUCUAAUACUGGAUAUGACUCCAUGACGCAUGUUGUGGGGUGGAAAGCCUUGUGCGGCUGAGGAUGGGCCCGCGGCCUAUCAGCUUGUUGGUGGGGG
rnacentral:rRNA from 1 species